ensembl:lncRNA
CCUGAUUCCAUUAUGCUUUUUCUAGCAACAGAGACGGCUGUAAAUAUAAUAUCUAAAUCGUUUUGGAUACAAAUUUGUGGUAUACGUUGAUCAGGGGAACCCAUUAGUCGUCAACCUUUUUCGUUAUUGUUCAUUAGCCGAAUCCGUCUUGACAAAUUGAACAUGAUAGGUGGACGUGAGUCAUAUGUUUGUCCAUGCAUUACCGAUUCAGAUCUAAUAUUUUACUUGAUUGAAGAUGGUGAGAACGAGAAACAAACUUGCAGCAGGCAGUAUUUAUUUCUGUUUAGCAAGAGUGUAACUUCACUCAGGGACAGGACUUAGGGUAAGAUAGAUGACACACCCUAUUCCCUUGCGCGCCGCAGAUGACGCCGUCACCCACAAAGAUUGUUUUCCCGGCUCACCGAUCGGACAACGUCGCAGAGGAGUACAACAACAUUCUAAUUUCAGAUGGAUCGCUAAUCUGGCUGGAAAGGCGCAAUGCCCGGAAGGGGAGAACGUCCUCAGAAGCAAUUUGAAGAGAACGAUUUAUCCGCAUAUUAUUUGGUUUAUGUUCCCACAUGAGACAUGUUAUCAUGGCCAGAUGGGAUACAUACAAGAAAUGACACACUCUCCGAAAUACAUUUCAGCAGAUGCCAAGAAAGCGUCACAAGCGUUUCGUCUUGAUGAGUGACAUAACCCUUCCGAGACCCAUCUCAUCCUCUACGUGCCAACAGCAUGCGUCCAAGAUGACGCCCUAUUCCCCAAGUAGUACACUACUUUAGACCAGGCACCAUAGGGAAUAUACAGGGGACAGGGUGUCACUGAAGACACAAGCCAGAGAUUGGACCGAACACACGGCGUUACCGUAACAUGUAGACAGUGUGAUGUAGUCGUUUGAUUACUAGGUGAAGGGUUUAGUCUCAGCUGCCUUUCAAAAUAGCCUUUCAAAACCCGUUAGGCGGACAGUUACAUGUCUGUCUGUAUUGUGUGUUAACCUGAUUGUACCCAGAAUCUCACGGAGAUUGGCAAGAACACCUUAUUUGCCGUGCAUUUUUGGUCACUUGUUAGAAGCCUGCCAAGGUGACAGGGAUUUUGUCUGUCAGCAAUCGAGGCUGUCUAAUUGUCUGAAUGCAUAACAAUGUCAUUUGGUUGUUUUAGAGGGCCACCGAGAGUUCAUUGAGUUUACAGAACUCAUGUUAAACCACACAUUGUGACCUCUUUUUAAUUCAUAUCAAACUACUUGUAGUAAAGAAAGUAAUAGUGUCAUUCUGAAGUAAAUUGAUUAUUCACAUGCAAGAACCAGUUUAUUGCUGUGAGAGCUCAGGACACGACACAAACAGAUGUCUAUUACUAAUCUAACCAAAAACUGUUUGUGGAAGGCCAUUUGGAACCGGAGAAGGCAGUGAAAAAGACAGACAGCUCAAAAACUGAACAACAGAGUGGCCAGAACAACAAAAUUAAAAUGCACUUGAACAUGCACCACAUGGGAAUGUUACCUAGCAUUUCUUGUCAGUAUUGUCAGGCACUGAGAUAUCGAUUUAGAAUCAGACCCGCUGUCUACAAUAUUCAGUGAUCCUAUCUGAAACCACUCCACACACUCGCCAUGCCACUCAUACAGAGAUUAAAUGCAAACGGUAUCCCAUAUAUCCUUACAUUUGCCAGCCUAGGCCUCCUCUGCAGGUAGUUGGCCUAACAACUCUCUCUCCCCCUCGCCCCUGGCGCUUUAUGUAGUUGGUGUGAACGAAGUUACAGUUACAAAUAAAACCUUUAAAACAUUCCCUGAUUCUCACCAAACGCCAUAUGGGUAAUUCCUGCAAGUGGGAGGGAAGAAGCAUGUAAAUCCAGAAUCCUCCAACUAAGACAUCUGGAAAACUAGGGGGGAAAAAAGAACAUAUAGAGUUCAAAUAGUACAAUCGCCCAUUUAAUGACAUAUACAUUAUUCAUAACAACCAGUAAGUCCCAGGGUUUAAUUAUGAUUACCUUUUCAUCCUAUUGUAAUUAAAGAUAAUAUAGACAUUUGUGUUUCCUGUGUGUCUGGAAUCAUAAUCUCCAUGCAAAUCAAAAGCUUUCUGAAGAGAUCCCAACUGAUGGAAAGAUAGAGAUUUUCUGUUAUGCAGGAAAACAAUAGCAAUGUCAAUAUGAUUUAUUCAUAUGAAAGAUUAACCCUAUGCCAAAUAAAUACAUGAAAUCUAAGAAGUAUCGUUUUCCAGAGAAAGAAAUGGAAAUGGGUUUUCUCUCCAAAUAACGACAAUGGCAACAAUGCAAACAAACACAUUUUAUUAUUCUUGCUUAUUUAUUAAUUUGACUAUUUAUAGAUAUAUUGUUUUAAGGCAUUUUAUGCUUUAUUGUAC